rnacentral:rRNA from 1 species
AUUGAACGCUGGCGGCAGGCCUAACACAUGCAAGUCGAGCGAGCGGCGGACGGGUGAGUAUUGUCUGGGAAACUGCCUGAUGGAGGGGGAUAACUACUGGAAACGGUAGCUAAUACCGCAUACCAUCAGAUGUGCCCAGAGGGGAUUAGCUAGUAGGUGGGGUAACGGCUCACCUAGGCAACGAUCACUAGCUGGUCUGAGAGGAUGACCAGCCAGAAUGGAAAGGAGACACGAUCCAGACUCUUAAGGGAGGAAGCAGUGGGGAAUAUUGCACAAUGGGCGCAGGCCUGAUGCAGCCAUGCCGCGUGUGUGAAGAAGGCCUUCGGGUUGUAAAGCACUUUCAGCGGGGAGGCGUUACCCGCAGAAGAAGCACCGGCUAACUCCGUGCCAGCAGCCGCGGUAAUUC